CAGCGACUGGGGUGAAGUCGUAACAAGGUAGCCGUAGGGGAACCUGCAGAAGGAUCA
rnacentral:rRNA from 1 species